GACAAUAUGGUGUAGUGGUUUGAAUAUUGGACUAUGAGUCUGGAGGCCAGGGUUCGAAUCCCACUCUGCCA
rnacentral:tRNA from 1 species